UAGUUAGUACCUGACACAUAGUAAGCACUUGCUCCAAAAAUAUUGAGUGCCUGCCAUGUGCCAGGCACUGGG
rnacentral:miRNA from 1 species